CGGAUAUUUUAUUUCCUAACAGAUUCUACGGUGGGAGCGCUUCAGCACAGGGAGGCAUCUAAAUCCCUUAUGCUGCCCUGAAAUCGACAUGGCAGCAAACAAUUUAAGUAAAAACUGAGAAUUCUAAACCCUCAGAGUCAUCCCCAGGUAGUCAAUGUCUCCCUGCGCUGCCCAAUCGCUGGGAUGUGAUUGGGAUGUUGGGGGAAAAUCACACUGGUUUGGGGUGAUGUCACACUAGCUGAGAUGACAUCUAACUGUAAGAAACCCGACCGCCACCAAACGCCGGUUAAACGACCUCGGAGACUGCUGUGCGGAGAGGACUGGGAAACCGGUCCCCACACACUGUCCACGCUGGCUCCCCACGGAGGCCCACCCACACCCGCGGCCCGGGGCAAGAUGCAGUGAUCUCAGCCCUCCCGCUCCUCCGCACUUCCGCCUCAGUAUGGCCUCACAGCUGCAGGUGUUUUCGCCCCCAUCAGUGUCGUCGAGUGCCUUCUGCAGUGCAAAGAAACUGAAAAUAGAGCCCUCUGGCUGGGAUGUUUCAGGACAGAGCAGCAACGACAAAUACUAUACCCACAGCAAAACCCUCCCAGCUACACAAGGGCAAGCCAGCUCCUCUCACCAGGUAGCAAAUUUCAAUCUUCCUGCUUACGACCAGGGCCUCCUUCUCCCAGCUCCUGCCGUGGAGCAUAUUGUGGUAACAGCUGCUGAUAGCUCAGGCAGCGCCGCUACAGCAACCUUCCAAAGCAGCCAGACCCUGACUCACAGGAGCAACGUUUCUUUGCUUGAGCCAUAUCAAAAAUGUGGAUUGAAGAGAAAGAGUGAGGAAGUGGAGAGCAACGGUAGCGUGCAGAUCAUAGAAGAACACCCCCCUCUCAUGCUGCAGAACAGAACCGUGGUGGGUGCUGCUGCCACGACCACCACUGUGACCACCAAGAGUAGCAGUUCCAGCGGAGAAGGGGAUUACCAGCUGGUCCAGCAUGAGAUCCUUUGCUCUAUGACCAACAGCUAUGAAGUCCUGGAGUUCCUAGGCCGGGGGACAUUUGGACAGGUGGCAAAGUGCUGGAAGCGGAGCACCAAGGAAAUUGUGGCCAUUAAGAUCUUGAAGAACCACCCCUCCUAUGCCAGACAAGGACAGAUUGAAGUGAGCAUCCUUUCCCGCCUAAGCAGUGAAAAUGCUGAUGAGUAUAACUUUGUCCGUUCUUAUGAGUGUUUUCAGCACAAGAAUCAUACCUGCCUUGUGUUUGAGAUGUUGGAGCAGAACUUGUACGAUUUUCUAAAGCAGAACAAGUUUAGCCCACUGCCACUCAAGUACAUAAGACCAAUCUUGCAGCAGGUGGCCACAGCCCUGAUGAAGCUGAAGAGUCUUGGUCUGAUUCAUGCUGACCUUAAACCUGAAAACAUAAUGCUAGUCGAUCCAGUUCGCCAACCCUACCGAGUGAAGGUCAUUGACUUUGGUUCUGCUAGUCAUGUUUCCAAAGCCGUGUGUUCAACCUACCUGCAAUCACGCUACUACAGAGCUCCUGAAAUUAUCCUUGGAUUACCAUUCUGUGAAGCUAUUGACAUGUGGUCACUGGGCUGUGUAAUAGCUGAGCUGUUCCUGGGAUGGCCUCUUUAUCCUGGUGCUUCAGAAUACGAUCAGAUUCGCUAUAUUUCACAAACACAAGGCCUGCCAGCUGAGUAUCUUCUCAGUGCCGGAACAAAAACAACCAGGUUUUUUAACAGAGAUCCUAAUUUGGGGUACCCACUGUGGAGGCUUAAGACACCUGAAGAACAUGAAUUGGAAACUGGAAUAAAGUCAAAAGAAGCUCGGAAGUACAUUUUUAACUGUUUAGAUGACAUGGCUCAGGUAAAUAUGUCUACAGACUUAGAGGGGACAGAUAUGUUAGCAGAGAAAGCAGAUCGGAGAGAGUAUAUUGAUCUUCUAAAGAAAAUGCUGACGAUUGAUGCAGAUAAGAGAAUCACGCCUCUGAAGACUCUUAACCACCAAUUUGUGACGAUGAGUCACCUCCUGGACUUUCCUCACAGCAGCCACGUUAAGUCCUGUUUCCAGAACAUGGAGAUCUGCAAGCGGAGGGUUCACAUGUAUGACACAGUGAGUCAGAUCAAGAGUCCCUUCACUACACAUGUCGCUCCAAAUACAAGCACAAAUCUAACCAUGAGCUUCAGCAACCAGCUCAACACAGUGCACAAUCAGGCCAGUGUUCUAGCUUCCAGCUCUACUGCAGCAGCAGCUACCCUUUCUCUGGCUAAUUCAGAUGUCUCGCUGCUAAACUACCAAUCGGCUUUGUACCCAUCGUCGGCAGCGCCAGUUCCUGGAGUUGCCCAGCAGGGUGUUUCCUUACAACCUGGAACCACCCAGAUCUGCACUCAGACAGAUCCAUUCCAGCAAACAUUUAUAGUAUGCCCACCUGCUUUUCAGAAGUCGGAGCAAGCGGAAGGAAAUGAGGGUCUGGGGGAAACUGAGAGCUCCCCGGGAGGCCAGGAGAGCGGUAGCGGUGUAAGCCAGGGAGAGACCACAGGGGGAGCGCAGGAGCAGAUUCACAAUCCCUGGACUACAAGCAACAACAAAGCAUUCUGGAUUCCCUGUGAGGAUGGAUAAUGCUGUGCCAAUUGUACCCCAGGCGCCUGCUGCUCAGCCGCUGCAGAUCCAGUCAGGAGUACUCACACAGGGAAGCUGUACACCACUAAUGGUAGCAACUCUCCACCCUCAAGUAGCCACCAUCACGCCGCAGUAUGCGGUGCCCUUUACCCUGAGCUGCGCAGCAGGCCGGCCGGCGCUGGUUGAACAGACUGCUGCUGUACUGCAAGCCUGGCCUGGAGGAACCCAACAAAUUCUCCUGCCUUCAGCCUGGCAGCAGCUGCCCGGGGUAGCUCUGCACAACUCUGUCCAGCCUGCUGCAGUGAUUCCAGAGGCCAUGGGGAGCAGCCAACAGCUAGCUGACUGGAGGAAUGCCCACUCUCAUGGCAACCAGUACAGCACUAUUAUGCAGCAGCCAUCUUUGCUGACCAACCAUGUGACCUUGGCCACUGCUCAGCCUCUGAAUGUUGGUGUUGCCCAUGUUGUCAGACAACAACAGUCUAGUUCCCUCCCUUCAAAGAAGAAUAAGCAGUCUGCUCCAGUUUCAUCCAAAUCCUCUCUGGAAGUCCUGCCUUCUCAAGUUUAUUCUCUGGUUGGGAGUAGUCCUCUUCGUACCACAUCUUCUUAUAAUUCCCUAGUUCCUGUCCAAGACCAGCAUCAGCCAAUCAUCAUUCCAGAUACCCCCAGCCCUCCUGUGAGUGUCAUCACUAUCCGUAGUGACACUGAUGAAGAAGAGGACAACAAAUACAAGCCCAAUAGCUCGAGCCUGAAGGCGAGGUCUAAUGUCAUCAGUUAUGUCACUGUCAAUGAUUCUCCAGACUCUGACUCCUCCCUGAGCAGCCCACAUCCCACAGACACUCUGAGUGCUCUGCGGGGCAACAGUGGGACCCUUCUGGAGGGACCUGGCAGACCUGCAGCAGAUGGCAUUGGCACCCGUACUAUCAUUGUGCCUCCUUUGAAAACACAGCUUGGCGACUGCACUGUAGCAACACAGGCCUCAGGUCUCCUUAGCAGUAAGACCAAGCCAGUGGCCUCAGUGAGUGGGCAGUCAUCUGGAUGCUGUAUCACUCCCACGGGGUACCGGGCUCAGCGAGGGGGAGCCAGCGCGGUGCAGCCACUCAACCUUAGCCAGAACCAGCAGUCAUCGUCAGCUUCAACCUCGCAGGAAAGAAGCAGCAACCCUGCUCCCCGCAGACAGCAGGCAUUUGUGGCCCCGCUCUCCCAAGCCCCCUACGCCUUCCAGCAUGGCAGCCCACUGCACUCGACGGGGCACCCACACUUGGCCCCAGCCCCUGCUCACCUGCCAAGCCAGCCUCACCUGUAUACGUACGCUGCCCCCACUUCUGCUGCUGCAUUGGGCUCCACCAGUUCCAUUGCUCAUCUGUUCUCCCCCCAGGGUUCCUCAAGGCAUGCUGCAGCUUAUACCACACACCCUAGCACUCUGGUGCAUCAGGUUCCUGUCAGUGUCGGGCCCAGCCUCCUCACUUCUGCCAGUGUGGCCCCUGCUCAGUACCAACACCAGUUUGCCACUCAGUCCUACAUCGGGUCUUCCCGAGGCUCAACAAUUUACACUGGAUACCCGCUGAGUCCUACCAAGAUCAGUCAGUAUUCUUACUUGUAGUUGAUGAGCACGAGGAGGGCUCCGUGGCUGCCUGCUACUAGCCCUGAGUUCUUAAUGGGCUCUGGAGAGCACCUCCAUUAUCUCCUCUUGAAAGUUCCUAGCCAGCAGCGCGUUCUGCGGGGCCCACUGAAGCAGAAGGCUUUUCCCUGGGGAACAGCUCUCGGUGUUGACUGCAUUGUUGCAGUCUCCCAAGUCUGCCCUGUUUUUUUAAUUCUUUAUUCUUGUGACAGCAUUUUUGGACGUUGGAAGAGCUCAGAAGCCCAUCUUCUGCAGUUACCAAGGAAGAAAGAUCGUUCUGAAGUUACCCUCUGUCAUACAUUUGGUCUCUUUGACUUGGUUUCUAUAAAUGUUUUUAAAAUGAAGUAAAGCUCUUCUUUACGAGGGGAAAUGCUGACUUGAAAUCCUGUAACAGAUGAGAAAGAGUCAUUACUUUUUGUUUGCUUAAAAAACUAAAACACAAGACUUCCUUGUCUUUUAUUUUGAAAGCAGCUUAGCAAGGCUGUGCUUAUGGCGUAUGGAAACAGAGUGAUUUCAUUUUCAUGUCGUGCUGUCCUUACUGGGCAGUUGUUAGAGUUUUAGUACAACGAGUACUGAAACCUGUGCAGCUGCUGCUGAGCUGCUCGCAGAGCAGCACUGAACAGGCAGCCAGCGCUGCUGGGAAGGAAGGUGAGGGUGAGGACUGUGCCCACCAGGAUUCAUUCUAAAUGAAGACCAUGAGUUCAAGUCCUCCUCCUCUCUCUAGUUUAACUUAAAUUCUCCUUAUAGAAAAGCCAGUGAGGUGGUAAGUGUAUGGUGGUGGUUUGCAUACAAUAGUAUGCAAAAUCUCUCUCUAGAAUGAGAUACUGGCACUGAUAAACAUUGCCUAAGAUUUCUAUGAAUUUUCAAUAAUACACGUCUGUGUUUUCCUCAUCUCUCCCUUCUGUUUCAUGUGACUUAUUUGAGGGGAAAACUAAAGAAACUAAAACCAGAUAAGUUGUGUAUAGCUUUUAUACUUUAAAGUAGCUUCCUUUGUAUGCCAACAGCAAAUUGAAUGCUCUCUUACUAAGACUUAUGUAAUAAGUGCAUGUAGGAAUUGCAGAAAAUAUUUUAAAAGUUUAUUACUGAAUUUAAAAAUAUUUUAGAAGUUUUGUAAUGGUGGUGUUUUAAUAUUUUGCAUAAUUAAAUAUGUACAUAUUGAUUAGAAGAAAUAUAACAAUUUUUCCUCUAACCCAAAAUGUUAUUUGUAAUCAAAUGUGUAGUGAUUACACUUGAAUUGUGUAUUUAGUGUGUAUCUGAUCCUCCAGUGUUACCCCGGAGAUGGAUUAUGUCUCCAUUGUAUUUAAACCAAAAUGAACUGAUACUUGUUGGAAUGUAUGUGAACUAAUUGCAAUUCUAUUAGAGCAUAUUACUGUAGUGCUGAGAGAGCAGGGGCAUUGCCUGCAGAGAGGAGACCUUGGGAUUGUUUUGCACAGGUGUGUCUGGUGAGGAGUUGUUCAGUGUGUGUCUUUUCCUUCCCCCUCUCCUCUCUCCCCUUAUUGUAGUGCCUUAUAUGAUAAUGUAGUGGUUAAUAGAGUUUACAGUGAGCUUGCCUUAGGAUGACCAGCAAGCCCCAGUGACCCCAAGCUGUUCGCUGGGAUUUAACAGAGCAGGUUGAGUAGCUGUGUUGUGUAAAUGCGUUCGUGUUCUCAGUCUCCCUACCGACAGUGACAAGUCAAAGCCGCAGCUUUCCUCCUUAACUGCCACCUCUGUCCCGUUCCAUUUUGGAUCUUCAGCUCAGUUCUCACAGAAGCAUUCCCUAACGUGGCUCUCUCACUGUGCCUUGCUACCUGGCUUCUGUGAGAGUUCAGGAAGCAGGCGAGAAGAGUGACGCCAGUGCUAAAUAUGCAUAUUUGAAGGUUUGUGCAUCACUUAGGAUGGGAUUCCUUUUCUCUCCUCCAUGUGAUAUGAUAGUCCUUUCUGCAUAGCUGUCGUUCCUGGUAAACUUUGCUUGGCUUUUUUUUUUUGUUUGUUUUUUGUUUUUUUUUUAAAGCAUGUAACAGAUGUGUUUAUACCAAAGAGCCUGUUGUAUUGCUUAAUAUGUCCCCAUACUACGAGAAGGGUUUUGUAGAACUACUGGUGACAAGAAGCUCACAGAAAGGUUUCUUAAUUAGUGACGAAUAUGAAAAAGAAAGCAAAACCUCUUGAAUCUGAACAAUUCCUGAGGUUUCUUUGGGACAACAUGUUGUUCUUGGGGCCCUUCACACUGUAAAAUUGUCCUAGUAUUCAACCCCUCCAUGGAUUUGGGUCAAGUUGAAGGUACUAGGGGUGGGGACAUUCUUGCCCGUGAGGGAUUUGUGGGGAGAAGGUUAACCCUAAGCUACAGAUGUGGUCCACCUGAAUUAAAUUAUAUCAGAGUGGUAAUUCUAGGAUUGGUUCUGUGUAGGUGGUGUCAGGGAGGUGCAGGAUGGAGAUGGGAGAUUUCAUGGAACCCGGUCAGGAAAGCUCUGAACCAGGUGGAACACCGAGGGGCUGUCAACGAACUUGGAGUUUCUUCAUCAUGGGGAGGAAGAGUUUCCAGGGCAGGGCAGGUAGUCAGUUUAGCCUGCCGGCAACGUGGUGUGUGUUGUCUUUUCUUUAAUCAUUAUAUUAAGCUGUGCGUUCAGCAGUCUGUUGGUUGAGAUAACCACGCAUCAUUGUGUAGUUUGUCACUAGUGUUAUACCGUUUAUGUCAUUCUGUGUGUGAUCUUUGUGUUUCCUUUCCCCCAAGCAUUCUGGGUUUUUCCUAUUUAAAUACAGUUCUAGUUUCUAGGCAAACAUUUUUUUUUUUAACCUUUUCUCUAUAAGGGACAAGAUUUAUUGUUUUUAUAGGAAUGAGAUGCAGGGAAAAAACAAACCAACCCUGUCCCCACCUCCUCACCUCCCUAAUCCAAUAAGCAGUUAUUGAAGAUGGGAGUCUUAAAUUUAUGGGAAAAGAGGAUGCCUAGGAGUUUGCAUCGUUACCUGAGACAUCUGGCUAGCAGUGUGACUUUACAGACUUUGAGGUUGUCACUCUGCAAACUGACAUUUCAGAUUUUCCUAGAUAACCCAUCUGUGUCUGCUGAAUGUGUAUGCGCCAGACAUAGUUUUACAUUCAUUCUGGCCUGGGGCUUAACAUUGACUGCUUGCCCUGAUGGCAUGGAGGAGAGCCCUACGAACAUAGCGCUGACCUAGGUCAGCAUUGCCUGACCUUGGAACAGCUUAAGGCUUUAAACCUUCUCUUAGAACGUGCAUUUCCAGUUUCUCCCUUCCCAGGUGAGAGAGGAACUGGAAGGGUUGCAUAGGCACACACCAGGACACUUAGUCACUCCAGAGUCCCCAGUUGCAACUAGGAGGUGGUUACCCUGUUAACCCCAGGAAGAAGAACCCCAUUUCAAACAGUUCCGGCCAUUGAGAGCCUGCUUUUGUGGUUGCUCAUCCGUCAUCAUCCGCUAGAGGGGCUUAGCCAGGCCAGCACAGUACUGGCUGUCCUAUUCUGCAUUAGUAUGCAGGAAUUUACUAGUUGAGAUGGUUUGUUUUAGGAUAGGAGAUGAAAUUGCCUCUCGGUGACAGGAAUGGCCAAGCCUGCUUUGUGUUUUUUUUUAACUGAUGGAUGGUGCAGCAUGUCUCCACGUUUCCAUGGUUGUUUGUUGCUAAACUUUAUAUAAUGUGUGGUUUCAAUUCAAUUCAGCUUGAAAAAUAAUCUCACUAUAUGUAGCAGUACAUUAUAUGUACAUUAUAUGUAAUGUUAGUAUUUCUGCUUUGAAUCCUUGAUAUUGCAAUGGAAUUCCUACUUUAUUAAAUGUAUUUGAUAUGCUAGUUCCUGUGUGUGGUUAAACUUUUUUUCUUUCUCCCUUUUCUGGUUGUGUGCUUCCUUUACAACAAGCUUCUAGAAACAGGUAGUUCUGAGAAUUACUGAUCUAUGUUUGUAAUGCAGGUGUACUUAGGGAGUAUGUAAAAUCAUUUUAACAAAAGAAAUAGCUAUUUAAAAUUUAAUACUAACUAUGGGAAAAGGGUCCAUUGUGUAAAACAUAGUUUAUCUUUGGAUUCGUUGUUGUCUUUGGUUUUACAAAGUAGCUUGUAUUUUCAGUAUUUUCUACAUAAUAUGGUAAAAAAGUAGAGCAGUUGCAAUGCAUCAAUAAAAUGGGUAAAUUUUC